GACGAACGCUGGCGGCGUGCUUAACACAUGCAAGUGGAGCGACGAACCGGGCUUCGGCCUGGGGCAGAGCCGCGAACGGGUGAGUAACACGUGGGUAACGUGCCCCGAUGACUGGGACAACCCGGGGAAACCCGGGCUAAUACCGGAUAUGCCCCCCUCACGCGAGUGAGGUGUGUAAAGGAAGCUUCGGCCUCCGCAUCGGGAUCGGCCCGCGGCCCAUUAGCUUGUUGGUGAGGUAACGGCUCACCAAGGCUUCGAUGGGUAGCUGGUCUGAGAGGACGAUCAGCCACACUGGGACUGAGACACGGCCCAGACUCCUACGGGAGGCAGCAGUGGGGAAUCUUGCGCAAUGCGCGAAAGCGUGACGCAGCAACGCCGCGUGGGGAAGAAGGCCU
rnacentral:rRNA from 1 species